GAAGUGCCUCGGGAAUCGGAACACAGGUGCUGCAUGGCUGUCGUCAGCUCGUGUCGUGAGAUGUUGGGUUAAGUCCCGCAACGAGCGCAACCCUUGUCCUUAGUUGCCAGCGAGUAAAGUCGGGAACUCUAAGGAGACUGCCGGUGACAAACCGGAGGAAGGUGGGGAUGACGUCAAGUCCUCAUGGCCCUUACGGCCAGGGCUACACACGUACUACAAUGGUCGGUACAGAGGGUUGCGAAGCCGCGAGGUGGAGCCAAUCCCAGAAAGCCGAUCCCAGUCCGGAUCGAAGUCUGCAACUCGACUUCGUGAAGUCGGAAUCGCUAGUAAUCGCGGAUCAGCUAUGCCGCGGUGAAUACGUUCCCGGGCCUUGUACACACCGCCCGUCACACCAUGGGAGUGGGUUGCUCCAGAAGGCGUUAGUCUAACCGCAAG
rnacentral:rRNA from 1 species